UAGACCUCAAUUUGAGCAAGAUUACCCGCUGAACUUAAGCAUAUCAGUAAGCGGAGAAAAGAAUCACCCUAGGGCACCCCGUUAUCAACAGGCGGAGAGGGAAA
rnacentral:rRNA from 1 species